GAUGAACGCUAGCGGCAGGCCUAAUACAUGCAAGUCGAGGGGUAGAGAGAGCUUGCUCUCUUGAGACCGGCGCACGGGUGCGUAACGCGUAUGCAACCUACCUUUAUCUGGGGGAUAGCCCGAAGAAAUUCGGAUUAACACCGCAUAAAAUCACAGAACGGCAUCGUUCAAUGAUCAAAUAUUCAUAGGAUAGAGAUGGGCAUGCGUGCCAUUAGUUAGUUGGCGGGGUAACGGCCCACCAAGACCGCGAUGGCUAGGGGAUCUGAGAGGAUGGCCCCCCACACUGGUACUGAGACACGGACCAGACUCCUACGGGAGGCAGCAGUAAGGAAUAUUGGUCAGUGGAGGCAACUCUGAACCUGCCAUGCCGCGUGCAGGAAGACAGCCCUCUGGGUCGUAAACUGCUUUUAUUCGGGAAUAAACCUGCUUACGUGUAAGUAGCUGAAUGUACCGAAGGAAUAAGGAUCGGCUAACUCCGUGCCAGCCGCCGCAGUAAAAC
rnacentral:rRNA from 1 species